rnacentral:rRNA from 1 species
AAGUGAGAAUGCCGGUGUGAGUAGCGAAAGACGGGUGAGAAUCCCGUCCACCGAUUGACUAAGGUUUCCAGAGGAAGGCUCGUCCGCUCUGGGUUAGUCGGGUCCUAAGCUGAGGCCGACAGGCGUAGGCGAUGGAUAACAGGUUGAUAUUCCUGUACCACCUAUAAUCGUUUUAAUCGAUGGGGGGACGCAGUAGGAUAGGCGAAGCGUGCGAUUGGAUUGCACGUCUAAGCAGUAAGGCUGAGUAUUAGGCAAAUCCGGUACUCGUUAAGGCUGAGCUGUGAUGGGGAGAAGACAUUGUGUCUUCGAGUCGUUGAUUUCACACUGCCGAGAAAAGCCUCUAGAUAGAAAAUAGGUGCCCGUACCGCAAACCGACACAGGUAGUCAAGAUGAGAAUUCUAAGGUGAGCGAGCGAACUCUCGUUAAGGAACUCGGCAAAAUGACCCCGUAACUUCGGGAGAAGGGGUGCUCUUUAGGGUUAACGCCCAGAAGAGCCGCAGUGAAUAGGCCCAAGCGACUGUUUAUCAAAAACACAGGUCUCUGCUAAACCGUAAGGUGAUGUAUAGGGGCUGACGCCUGCCCGGUGCUGGAAGGUUAAGAGGAGUGGUUAGCUUCUGCGAAGCUACGAAUCGAAGCCCCAGUAAACGGCGGCCGUAACUAUAACGGUCCUAAGGUAGCGAAAUUCCUUGUCGGGUAAGUUCCGACCCGCACGAAAGGCGUAACGAUUUGGGCACUGUCUCAACGAGAGACUCGGUGAAAUCAUAGUACCUGUGAAGAUGCAGGUUACCCGCGACAGGACGGAAAGACCCCGUGGAGCUUUACUGUAGC